UACGUAGGGUGCGAGCGUCAAUCGGAAUUACUGGGCGUAAAGCGUGCGCAGGCGGUUUUGUAAGCCAGAUGUGAAAGCCCCGGGCUUAACCUGGGAAUGGCAUUUGGGACUGCAAGGCUUGAGUGCGGCAGAGGAGACUGGAAUUCCCGGUGUAGCAGUGAAAUGCGUAGAUAUCGGGAGGAAUACCGAUGGCGAAGGCAGGUCUCUGGGCUGACACUGACGCUCAUGCACGAAAGCGUGGGGAGCAAACAGG
rnacentral:rRNA from 1 species